GUGGGUGUAGCUCAGUGGGAGAGUGCAUGCUUAGCAUUGCACAUAUCCUGGGUUCAAUCCCCAGUGCCUCCA
rnacentral:tRNA from 1 species